UACGGGGGGGCAAGCGUUGUUCGGAAUUACUGGGCGUAAAGGGCUCGUAGGCGGCCAACUAAGUCGGAUGUGAAAUCCCCAAGCUUAACUUGGGAACUGCAUCCGAUACUGGAUGGCUUGAAUCCGGGAGAGGGAUGUCAGAAUUCCAGGUGUAGCGGUGAAAUGCGUAGAUAUCUGGAGGAAUACCGGUGGCGAAGGCGGCAUCCUGGACCGGCAUUGACGCUGAGGAGCGAAAGCUAGGGGAGCAAACGGG
rnacentral:rRNA from 1 species